AAGACAUCCGAAGGCCGUACCUGUGGCGCAGUUCGGCUAUAACCGCCCUGAUAUCGACCGUGCUGAAACGGGACUUCAUGGUGGACGGAAAGGAGCCCCGCUCCGUCUACACGGCUUCCCUAUAGCAGUUCCCAGGCGCUCCUACGAUAGGAGGCGACCGGGCCGCACGCCUGCGCGCCGGAUUACGGAACUAUGGCGAGACGGCGGGACCAAACUUCUUUAUUUCGCGGAGGAAGGCGGAGCCAAAACGACUAGUUCCACUACUAGGCACAUGUGGAACUAAAAUGUACUGAAAUGAAUAAUGGAAGAACUGUGCUUGUGCAAAAUCCAAACUACUUCCAAAUAAUUUUUGAAGCAUA